rnacentral:misc_RNA from 1 species
GAUGAAGAACGCAGCGAAAUGCGAAAAGUAGUGUGAAUUGCAGAAUUCAGUGAAUCAUCGAAUCUUUGAACGCACAUUGCGCCCCUUGGUAUUCCAUGGGGCAUGCCUCUUCCAGCGUCAUUUCACCCCUCAAGCUCUGCUUGGUUUUGGGCCGCGCCGGCAACGGCGGGCCUCGAAAAUAGUGGCGACGCCAUCGUGCUCUCAGCGUAGUAAUUCUUCUCGCUGUUGGGUCCCGGUGGUCGUCCGCCAGCAACCCCCAACUUUCUUAAGUUUGACCUGGGAUGAGGUAGGGAUACCCGCUGAACUUAAGCAUAUCAAUAAGCGGAGGA